UCAUGCUGAGAAACCUCUUAUUUGAAGUCCUGCAUCCGAGUUGGAAGCCAAGGCUGCUGCUUUGUGUCAAAGUGCCUCCCAGAUCCUCCAGAUAAAAUAGGGUGUUUCAUUCUUACUGAAAUAACCUCAAAGGACAAAUUUCUGAUAGUUUGAUUUUUAAAGAACAGAGUUUCUUGCUGAGUAAGAAAGCAGCAAUCACGCAAAGGGGCCUGUCAGGACAGUCUGUGGCUGCAGUGUGUCCACGGAGAAAGUUGACUUUGUAGCUGGCUUUAUCUCAGUCUCUUUAUCCAGCUAAAGACAGGGUAGGGCAGAUUUUUAUAUUCUUAGUCUAAGCUAAUUUUUACUCCCUCGGGCUCAACUGAAAUAUUUAAGGAUUAAAUCCUAAGAAAAGCUUUGCUAUUCCGACAGUGAAAAUGUACUGUUGCCUUGUUUGCAAAGCAGCUCACAUACAGACACUGGUGAUUUUGUGGUUGCCUUGAUUUUCCACGUAAGAAUUUACUGUUUCAGGAUAUGGGUUUCAAGAUACUCCAAAUUCCCUAUGGCAAGAGGAGGAUGUAACUUAAAGUCUUACCAUCAGUUUACUUGCUUAUAGUUCAUAAUUUUUAACUAUGUGUUUAUGUCCUUAAAUGUAUGUUUUCAGAUAAGAUAAACUUAAUAAAAAUAUCAUGGCUAAUGAAUUAAAAAAAUGUUCUAAACUUACAGUUGAUAGGAAACAACUUGUAUGAUGUCUUUAAGUCAUGAAGUCAUGACUUGAGAGUUCUGUAGACUCUGACCUUGCAUGGGAGUUUUCACAUCUAAGCACAGAUGUUCUUGAGAAGGUGCACAGGGUACUCAAAUUCUCAACAUGGCUUUUUACCCAGAAAGGGUUUGGACUCACUCUCUCUCUUUAGAGACUCAUAUAUCAGAUGCACUGAUUCAAACCGGUUCUAGAAUAUAAAUUACUUAUGCUAUUUAUAUAAUUUAUAUUGAAUAAUUAGCUACAUUUAAAUCUAUAAAAUAUUUUGAUAAAAGAAGGGACUACUUAAAAUUCAAAGAAAAAUUUGAAGCAGGAGAGUUCCAGCCUUCAAGAACAACUGAAAAGUCUUAAGCUAUUCCUGAACGUUUCAGAAAGGUUGAAUUAAUUUUUUUGGACAUUCAGAAAUGCUCUAUGGGACAACAGUAAUUUGAAUAAUGGCAAACACCAGUGCUUGUUCCAUCUAUACAGCUCUUAAUUAAAGUGAUCAAGUAACAAGAUUCCAUUAUUCAAAGUAUGAAGAAUUGAAAUAAAAUGAUAUGAAAUAUGCUAAGUAUAGUAAAAAAUAUUUUAAGAGAAAAAUUAAAGCUUAUAAAAACAUGUGUACUUUUGUUGUUGUUGGAGGAUGGGCAGUAGGCAAAUACUGUCUAGAUACAGAUAUGCACUGGAAAAGUAGGCUUGCCAUUGUCCUGGGAGUUAGUAUUUUAAUACAGGCACAAAAAGAUGAGGAAUGGAAGAAGGUUCAACUUCAACAGGUAAAAUAACAAAGACCAUAUACAAAAAACCCUACAACUGAUAUAGUUAAUGAUAAGACAGUGACUCCUUUUCCCCUAAAAUCAGUAACAAGGUAAGGAUGUCCUCAUCUCCAUUCAACACUGUGCUGGAUUCCUAACUACUUCAACAAGACAAAAAAAGAAAAAAGUGUAGGAUUGCAAACAAAUGGAACCGGCUCUAUUCACGGAUGAUAUUAUUAUCUCUGUAGAAAAUCCCCAAGAUUUGACAAAAAACCACCCAGAAUUAAUAAGUGAAUCUUAGAUGGUGGCAGGAAACAAGCUCAGUAUAUAAAAGAAUAUCAUUUUUGUGUAUACCAGCAAUGAACAACCAGAAUUUAAAAUAUACCGGUUACAAUAGCAC
rnacentral:lncRNA from 1 species